rnacentral:rRNA from 1 species
UGAGGAAUAUUGGUCAAUGGACGCAAGUCUGAACCAGCCAUCCCGCGUGAAGGAUGACUGCCCUAUGGGUUGUAAACUUCUUUUAUAUGCAAAUAAACCUACUUUCGUGAAAGUAGCUGAAGGUAGCAUAUGAAUAAACACCGGCUAACUCCGUGCCAGCAGCCGCGGUAAUACGGAGGGUGUAAGCGUUAUCCGGAUUUAUUGGGUUUAAAGGGUACGUAGGCGGUAAUAUAAGUCAGUGGUGAAAUCCUGCAGCUCAACUGUAGAACUGCCAUUGAAACUGUAUUACUUGAGUAUACUUGAGGUAGGCGGAAUGAGUAGUGUAGCGGUGAAAUGCUUAGAUAUUACUCAGAACACCGAUUGCGAAGGCAGCUUACUAAGGUAUAACUGACGCUGAUGUACGAAAGCGUGGGGAGCGAACAGG